rnacentral:rRNA from 1 species
GACGAACGCUGGCGGCGUGCUUAACACAUGCAAGUCGAACGGAAAGGCCCUGCUUUUGUGGGGUGCUCGAGUGGCGAACGGGUGAGUAACACGUGAGUAACCUGCCCUUGACUUUGGGAUAACUUCAGGAAACUGGGGCUAAUACCGGAUAGGAACUCCUGCUGCAUGGUGGGGGUUGGAAAGUUUCGGCGGUUGGGGAUGGACUCGCGGCUUAUCAGCUUGUUGGUGGGGUAGUGGCUUACCAAGGCUUUGACGGGUAGCCGGCCUGAGAGGGUGACCGGGCACAUUGGGACUGAGAUACGGCCCAGACUCCUACGGGAGGCAGCAGUGGGGAAUAUUGCACAAUGGGCGGAAGCCUGAUGCAGCAACGCCGCGUGCGGGAUGACGGCCUUCGGGUUGUAAACCGCUUUCGCCUGUGACGAAGCGUGAGUGACGGUAAUGGGUAAAGAAGCACCGGCUAACUACGUG